CCAAGCCGCCCAAAUUUCUUCUUAAGAAUCAAGUUAUUGCACAUCAUUUUCCAUAGAGUGUUAGAAUCAUAUGCAUAAAAAGGAUUUAAUAGGAUAUGAAAAGUAUAUUCAUUCGAAGGACUAUGUCUGAAUUAUGGCGAAUUCAUUAUAUGUUAUCUAUUUCUUAUUGUUUGAACAUAAUUUCAUCACACUCGGAAAUUAGUGGAACAAAGCAAAAGUUGAUAUUUGCUUGCAUUUGCGUAGUGAACGUUAUCAAGUUUUCAAAAUUGUUGAUUCAUUUGGAAAAAACUGCGUAGUAAUGUGUUCUUUGUCUUAAAAUACGACGAGUCUAUGUACUUGAAUAUUUCCAGCUGUUUCUAUUUAUAUGGAGCUACCGUUGCUUAUCAUAUAUCAAAUACAAUUAAGACUUCAAAGACACAAAUCGAAAAAAAAACGAAAAAGUUCUGCAAAUUCAUCGGAAAAUGAUCAAAUAGCCCAAAUUGAUUGAAUUGAAAAAAAUCGCAACUUAUGUAUCGUGGAAAUGUGAAUGAUUUGAAAAUUGAACUCAAAAUAGAUGCAAAUGCGUCUCAUUAUUGAGUUGAUUAACUGCUUUUCAGCACUUCUUCCAAUAGAAAAAAUAGCUUGCUCAGAAGUUUCUUCGUUUUGAUGUGCACUCGACUAUAGACAAACUUGCAAUAAGUGCUAUUUCCACUGAGUAAAAUGGCGCUUCGCAAUGUCAAGUUAGCAUGAUGUUGUGUGGCUUUGAAGUGUUCCUAGAGGAAACGUAUCCAGUGAUGCCUGAAGCAGAAAAAGGGCAAUUGCGCAUUUUCAAUGGACAGUCGUGUGGCUUUCAACUUCAAAACAUCACACGAAAAAAAUCCACUUGGCCCCGAAUUCAGCGUGGACCGAGAGACACAUCAUGUUCAAAGAGAACGAAACAUUGAAAGCCAUUCAAUAUAACAUCAUAACAGAACCUACCGGCUUUCACCUGCUCAGAUGAAUACGUUAGGCUUCAUGCGAGCGAAGAACCGUGCGAAUGUGAAAAAUGUAAGAGCUGUUGUAAGAGACGUUUUGUCGAGAGAAAAGACUCAACCUCACACCAACGACGGAAUGUGCGUGGAGCUGGAAGUACUACAGAUAUCAAAAAUCUCGGUUCAAUGAAGACAUAGUGCCAUAGUUUAAUUAUAAAACAAAAUGGAACAGCAAGAAUGAGGCACCGGGACAACCUUCAAAAUCAUAAAUUACUCCAAUUUCAUUUAAGUUUCCAUUGAACUCUAUUGAAUGAUAUACGGCAAAAUACAAGUUGCUGUUCGCAAUAAAAUGUGUUGUGAAUAAAAGUUGUGUUUUAUAUAUGGAAUA